rnacentral:rRNA from 1 species
GUGGGGGAUAACGUAGCGAAAGUUACGCUAAUACCGCAUAUUCUGUGAGCAGGAAAGCAGGGGAUCGCAAGACCUUGCGCUGAUUGAGCGGCCGAUAUCAGAUUAGCUAGUUGGUGAGGUAAAGGCUCACCAAGGCGACGAUCUGUAGCGGGUCUGAGAGGAUGAUCCGCCACACUGGAACUGAGACACGGUCCAGACUCCUACGGGAGGCAGCAGUGGGGAAUUUUGGACAAUGGGCGCAGGCCUGAUCCAGCCAUGCCGCGUGAGUGAAGAAGGCCUUCGGGUUGUAAAGCUCUUUCAGCCGGGAAGAAAACGCAUGGGUUAAUACCCUGUGUGGAUGACGGUACCGGAAUAAGAAGCACCGGCUAACUACGUGCCAGCAGCCGCGGUAAUACGUAGGGUGCGAGCGUUAAUCGGAAUUACUGGGCGUAAAGCGUGCGCAGGCGGUUUGUUAAGAUAGGCGUGAAAUCCCCGGGCUCAACCUGGGAACUGCGUUUAUGACUGGCAAGCUAGAGUAUGGCAGAGGGGGGUGGAAUUCCACGUGUAGCAGUGAAAUGCGUAGAGAUGUGGAGGAACACCGAUGGCGAAGGCAGCCCCCUGGGCCAAUACUGACGCUCAUGCACGAAAGCGUGGGUAGCAAACAGGAUUAGAUACCCUGGUAGUCCACGCCCUAAACGAUGUCAACUAGGUGUUGGGAGGGUAAAACCUUUUAGUACCGGAGCUAACGCGUGAAGUUGACCGCCUGGGGAGUACGGCCGCAAGGUUAAAACUCAAAGGAAUUGACGGGGACCCGCACAAGCGGUGGAUGAUGUGGAUUAAUUCGAUGCAACGCGAAAAACCUUACCUACCCUUGACAUGUCCGGAAGCCCUUAGAGAUUUGGGUGUGCUCGAAAGAGAGCCGGAACACAGGUGCUGCAUGGCUGUCGUCAGCUCGUGUCGUGAGAUGUUGGGUUAAGUCCCGCAACGAGCGCAACCCUUGUCGUUAAUUGCCAUCAUUUAGUUGGGCACUUUAACGAGACUGCCGGUGACAAACCGGAGGAAGGUGGGGAUGACGUCAAGUCCUCAUGGCCCUUAUGGGUAGGGCUUCACACGUCAUACAAUGGUCGGUACAAAGGGUCGCCAACCCGCGAGGGGGAGCCAAUCCCAGAAAGCCGAUCGUAGUCCGGAUCGUAGGCUGCAACUCGCCUGCGAGAAGUCGGAAUCGCUAGUAAUCGUGGAUCAGCAUGUCACGGUGAAUACGUUCCCGGGUCUUGUACACACCGCCCGUCACACCAUGGGAGCGGGUUCCGCCAGAAGUAGGUAGCCUAACCGCAAGGAGGGCGCUUACCACGGCGGGGUUCGUGACUGGGGUGAAGUCGAAACAAGGUA